CGCGGCCGCCGCUCGGCAGCAUUUGCUCCAGGGGGCGGAGACCGAGCGGGGAGGAGGGGCGCCACGCCGCCGGCCAAAGUACCGGCGGAUGGGGCCGGGGGCGGGGCCGGGGGCGGGGCCUCCCGGAGUCCCCUCGACCAAUCGUCGUCUCGCCGCGGCCGGGCCGGCCCAAUAGGUUGGCGGUGAGUGGGGCGGCGUUCAAGAUCCCACACCUGCUCGCCUUUCCUGCUUCCGGAGCCCACGCUGGACACCCCCCCCCCCCCAUCCUAGACACACUGCCUGGCACCGGCCGACCCUCCCCCGACCCAGCGCUGGUCUCCGGGGUGUGCCCGUCUCCGCCCGCGCUCACGGUCCCCCUUUACCUUCUGGACGAAGGGCCUUGCGCAGCCUCCGAGCCGCAGGAGGUUUCUAGACCGGCGCGUCCAUCUCGGCCACGCUCCGUGUCCGGAGUCCUGGGACGGGUGUCUGACAGCCCUCUCCCCUCGGAUGAUGAGAUUAAACGAGGAAAGACUUAAAGCAUA